rnacentral:lncRNA from 1 species
ACAGGACUCAGGGAUCCUGCGGCUACCAGUUUGCUUGGUGACGUGAAGGUGAGUUUUCAGCCUCCUUGUGGCCCUUCCAGGGGAUGCCCCAGCUGAUGGGGUAAGUCCCCAGAGCCAGGCCCAUACGUUAGCCUGUGGCAGGUGCCCUUUAUAAAGGGAGGCUCCCUGAGGCAUGUAACACAAGUCUUCACAGCGAGACGGCGUGAAAAGGGUUAGUCCUAUCCAAAGAUUUUUGCUCUGUAGUUCAGGAGUAAAAGAGCUGAAGGCACUUAUGUGGCAAUUAAGUAUGAAUGUGCUCAUUUCCUGCCAGGCCAGCGAUGACUCUCACCCGGGGAAACCUUCCACCGAGUCUGCACUGUGCAGACGAUGCAAUCAGAGCUUCUGUGGGGGUGACGUGCGGCAGCGGCUCCAGACAGAAACAUUGGAUCAGCAGUUGGACUCGGUUUUCUGCGAUAGAGUUGUUCGCCCGGCGGUCACAGGAACCACACCCUACUCUCUGUCCUGGCCUUCCCCGCAUUUUCACAUAAGGAGAAUAGACGAAGAAUGACAAACAUGAAGUCGGGUAAGACCAGAGCGUGAACAGAAAUCCCGCC